rnacentral:rRNA from 1 species
GGGCACUUCGGUGCUAGUGGCAGACGGGUGAGUAACACGUGGGAACGUACCUUUCGGUUCGGAAUAAUACAGGGAAACUUGUACUAAUACCGGAUACGCCCUUUGGGGGAAAGAUUUAUCGCCGAUUGAUCGGCCCGCGUCUGAUUAGCUAGUUGGUGAGGUAAUGGCUCACCAAGGCGACGAUCAGUAGCUGGUCUGAGAGGAUGAUCAGCCACACUGGGACUGAGACACGGCCCAGACUCCUACGGGAGGCAGCAGUGGGGAAUAUUGGACAAUGGGCGCAAGCCUGAUCCAGCCAUGCCGCGUGUGUGAUGAAGGCCUUAGGGUUGUAAAGCACUUUUGUCCGGGAAGAUAAUGACUGUACCGGAAGAAUAAGCCCCGGCUAACUUCGUGCCAGCAGCCGCGGUAAUACGAAGGGGGCUAGCGUUGCUCGGAAUCACUGGGCGUAAAGGGCGCGUAGGCGGACUCUUAAGUCGGGGGUGAAAGCCCAGGGCUCAACCCUGGAAUUGCCUUCGAUACUGAGAGUCUUGAGUUC